rnacentral:sRNA from 1 species
GGCGAGUGCCCGUAGUCUCAGCUACUCAGGAGGCUGAGGCAGGAGAAUCACUUGAACCCAGGAGGUGGAGGUUGCAGUGAGCCGAGAUUGAGCCACUGCACUCCAGCCUGAGUGACAGAGUGAGACUCCGUCUCAAACAAACAAACAAAAAAACCUGAAAGGCAGAGUUGCUGCAGAGUUAGAUGAGGUGUGUGGAGGGGUGUGGACCCCAGCUGACUACACUCUUUACCAGCAUGCUAAUCACCUACGACGAUGUGGUGAAGAUCUCAGAUUUUGGCACUUCCAAGGAGCUGAGUGACAAGAGCACCAAGAUGUCCUUUGCAGGGACAGUAGCCUGGAUGGCCCCUGAGGUGAUCCGCAAUGAACCUGUGUCUGAGAAGGUCGACAUCUGGUCCUUUGGCGUGGUGCUGUGGGAACUGCUGACUGGUGAGAUCCCCUACAAAGACGUAGAUUCCUCAGCCAUUAUCUGGGGUGUGGGAAGCAACAGUCUCCAUCUGCCCGUGCCCUCCAGUUGCCCAGAUGGUUUCAAGAUCCUGCUUCGCCAGUGCUGGUAAGGAUGGCCUGGGCUGG